GACGGAAGGUGCAAGCGUUGCUCGGAAUCACUGGGCGUAAAGGGUGCGUAGGCGGCUUGGUAGGUCUGGUGUGAAAGCCCCGGGCUCAGCCCGGGAAGGGCACUAGAAACUGCCAAGCUAGAGUGCCGGAGGGGAGAGUGGAAUUCCUGGUGUAGCGGUGAAAUGCGUAGAUAUUGGGAAGAACACCGGUGGCGAAGGCGGCGCUCUGGACCGAGACUGACGCUGAGGCGCGAAAGCGUGGGGAGCAAACAGG
rnacentral:rRNA from 1 species